rnacentral:rRNA from 1 species
UACAGAGGUCCCAAGCGUUGUUCGGAUUCACUGGGCGUAAAGGGUGCGUAGGCGGUCGGGUAAGUCUGAUGUGAAAUCUCACAGCUUAACUGUGAAACUGCAUUGGAUACUAUCCGGCUCGAGGAAUGGAGGGGAGACUGGAAUUCCCGGUGUAGCGGUGAAAUGCGCAGAUAUCGGGAAGAACACCCGUGGCGAAGGCGGCUCUCUGGGACGGUACUGACGCUGAGACGCGAAAGCGUGGGGAGCGAACAGG